GCGAGGCUGGAGCCCUUUCCGGCCUUCGCCUGCCCGCCCAGCCCCGGAAAUGGCGUCACCCUCAAGCCGGAGCCUCUGGCUUUCGUGAGGAUUCAACCAGUCGCAGAUACAUUCCGACCUCCUGUUAGGUGCCAGGCACUGGACUAAGCAAACAGGUUGAGAAUCACUACUUACCCACAACACACCCCUCCUGGGGCCAGAUGAAGUCAUCCCCGUGCCUCCUCAUCGCUAUAAUUCCACAAUUCAUUCGUGUUCCCCGCCUUCUCUCGUGAGCGACGAAAUCACAGCUCUGACUCAGCAAGAGAGUUCUAGUCCGUGAUUCUCGAACACACAAGAUUAAAGAAGUAAAAAUGAAGAAUAAUGAACAGAUGACUAGAUCUUUUCCCCAGCCUUCCCUUCAGUAAUCCUGCAAGCAAACUACAUGAACAAGAUAGCAUCUAAAAGGGGACUUCCCUGGCAGUCCAGUGGUUAAGACUCCACGCUUCCACUGCAGGGGGCACGGGUUUGAUCCCUGGUCCGGGAUUUAAGAUCUCUGGUCAGGAAACUAAGAUCCCGCAUCCACAUGGCAUGGCCAAAAAAAAAAAAAAAAAGAUAGCAUCUAAAGGAAGAUCAUGGGGAGUCUGCACACAGCAGAAAGUGACAAAGAAUCUGACCCCCUACCUUAAUGAUGAACUGAGAUUAUUUCCCCUUUUCUCUUUAAAAACUUUGAUGGCCUAGGAACUUCCCUGGUGGCGCAGUGGUUAAGACUCUGCCUGCCAAUGCAGGGGACAUGGGUUCGAGCCCUGGUCCAGGAAGAUCCCACAUGCCUUGGAGCAACUAAGCCCGUGCGCCACAACUACUGAGCCUACACUCUAGAGCCCGCGAGCCGCAGCUACUGAGUCCGUGUGCCACAACUACUGAAGCCCGCAUGCCUAGAGCCCGUGCUCCGCAACAAGAGAAGCCACCACAACGAGAAGCCCACGCACUGCAACCAAGAGUAGACCCCGCUCGCCACAACUAGAGAAAGCCCGCGUGCAGCAAUGAGGACCCAACGCAGCCAAAUAAAUUAAUAAAUAAUAAAUUUAAAAAAAAAGAAAACCUUUAUAAAAAAAAUUAAAACCUUCAUGGCCUAGCAGAAUCUUUGGAGUUGGUUCUGGGACACAGGUCCACCUUCUCCCCAGGUUGCCAGCCUCCUGAAUAAAGCAACAUUUCCCUUCCAACCAACUCUAGUCUCUCGAGUACUGGCUUUUAAGCAGUGAGCAGCCAAACCUGAGUUUGGUAACAGCUUCACAUAUAUACAUAAUUAUCUAUAGACAAGUCCAGGUUCUGCCACUUGCUGCUGGAAUACCUCUCUUGGUCUCCAUUUUUGCCUCUCAUAGAGUCGUUAUGAGGCUCAAGUGAGAUCAUGUGUAUAAAUAAAAAUGUAUAUGUAUGUAAGAUAAUUGUUAUUACAGCUAGACAUCCUUUACUUUCUCCACACAUAAUGUUGCCAGGUAGCGAUUGAUUCCCAAGUAUUCGGAUGAGUACAAUUUUUAAGAUAUAUUUAUACUGCAUGAUUCCAACUAGAUGACAUUCUGCAAAAGGCAAAACUAUGGAGACAGUAAAAAGAUCAGUGUUUGCCAGGGUUUGGGAGUGGGGGAGGGAUGAAUAGGCAAAGCACAGAGGUUCUUUAGGGAUGUGAAACUACUCUGUUUACCAUGAUAAUGGAUACAUGUCAUUAUACAUUUAUCCAAACCCAUAGAAUGUAUAAAACCAAUAGUGAACCAUAAUGCAAACUAUGGAUUUAAGGUGAUUAUGAUGCGUCAGUGUAGGUUCAGCCAUUGUAACAAAUGUACCACUCUGGUGAGGAAUGUUGUUAAUAGCUGAGGUUGUGCAUGUGUGGGGGCAGUGGGUAUACAGAAAUCUCUGUACCUUCCUUUUCAUUUCACUGUGAACCUACAAGUGCUCUAAAAACACUGUCUUUUUAAAAAAGAGAGAGAGAGAAAAUGGAAAAAAAAUAAAUGGGCCAAUUAAAUACCUUGAAUCCUUUGGCUAAAUUCAUUUGUUCAAU